UGGGGAAUAUUGCGCAAUGGGGGGAACCCUGACGCAGCCAUGCCGCGUGAAUGAAGAAGGCCUUAGGGUUGUAAAGUUCUUUCGGUAUUGAGGAAGGUUGAUGUGUUAAUAGCACAUCAAAUUGACGUUAAAUACAGAAGAAGCACCGGCUAACUCCGUGCCAGCAGCCGCGGUAAUACGGAGGGUGCGAGCGUUAAUCGGAAUAACUGGGCGUAAAGGGCACGCAGGCGGUUAUUUAAGUGAGGUGUGAAAGCCCCGGGCUUAACCUGGGAAUUGCAUUUCAGACUGGGUAACUAGAGUACUUUAGGGAGGGGUAGAAUUCCACGUGUAGCGAUGAAAUGCGUAGAGAUGUGGAGGAAUACCGAAGGCGAAGGCAGCCCCUUGGGAAUGUACUGACGCUCAUGUGCGAAAGCGUGGGGAGCAAACAGGAUUAGAUACCCUGGUAGUCCACGCUGUAAACGCUGUCGAUUUGGGGGUUGGGGUUUAACUCUGGCGCCCGUAGCUAACGUGAUAAAUCGACCGCCUGGGGAGUACGGCCGCAAGGUUA
rnacentral:rRNA from 1 species